UACGCGAAUGUCCCGGGCGGCCCGCACGCUCGCACGCACGGUGUGCUAUGGCUGCAUGUCCGCUGCCGCGGGCCCUGCCGGACCCUGCCAUGGCCGUGUGAAGGGGCGUCCAUCGGGAUCCUCGAAAGGGGGAGGCCCUCGUGCUCCGUAUGCUCACGUUAUGCGGCUCCACGCAGACAAGCCGCUAUAGAGGGGACGAGGCGGGGCUGCGAAGCGCUUGCAAUGGUCGGACGCGGAGACGCUGCUCGAGCCGCAGCGAGCUGUUAUGCCCGGGCCGGCGACACCCCUCCGCGUCCUGGGCAAGUGCGCAGGACAAGUCCUAUGAGGGGAGACAGAGGGACCCGGACCUCUUCGGACUCCACAGGAGAAGGCUGAGAGAUAUUGCUAUUAUUGAGGCACUGGCAUACACUGUCAUUUUGAGGGAUCCUGCCUCUGUUUUCUCCCAUGGCCAAGGAAGCCACUGGGCAACAAAGAAUUCAAAAUCUACUUUGGAGAAGGAGAGCAGACAUAAUGGAGGUAAUUCAGUAACCACAGAAGUAGGAUUCUCUCCCAGGAAGGAAGACAGGACUGUAUUCCUAUCCUUGCUGCUAGAGGAAAUUAUUAAGUACCAGAAAAACUGCUUGAGUAGUAGUAGUAGUGCGUUUGCAUUUCAAGAAAGAGACUGUAGAUGCAAAACCAGCUGUGUGUAGCCAUGUUUUCUUUACUGCUCCCCAGUCAUCUAAUGACCAAAGCACAAUUUUCUGGGGUCAGAGAUGGUAGCUUCAAGUCCCAACUGAGCUGUAGCUGUCUGUAGUUCUAGUUCCUUUGGGGAAAAGGAUAACACAGUGGUCACAGUCUUAUUUGGCAAUGCAGAAGACCUGUCUUCAAGUUGAGGAUCUUAAGAAAAGCAAGGCAGGUAAAGAGCAGAGGGAGAACAAUGAACAUUAGAGAAGCAGAUUUUAACCAGCCAUUAAAAGCAGUAGGCAAGGUCACAUGGAUAGAUGACUUGCCUCCCACAUGCACUGUCUGUCUGGGGCUGAUCCUCAUGAAACCAGAUGCGACAGGAAACCCAAUGAGGAAAGCUUGCCCUGGGAUGAUCCAGGGACCCCAUGGGAACCCGUGUCAGUAACACGGGAAUCUUUACUUAUGACAACCCUGAAGAAGGCUCUGACUGGGGUUCAGCAGAUCCCACUGCCCCUCCCUGACAUAUGCAAGCGUUUCCUAAAAGGUCACCGGCCCCUGAAACAGCAGGUGUCUCCCUUCAGUGCCUGCUGCCCCAGUCACUAGCACUGCAGCUCAGUCAUGGUGACCUCAAUGACAUGAUAUGUCAACAGGUUAUGCCCAUCCCCACUUUACAUUCAAGUGUAUUACUGCUCCCUCUCCCACCCUCAACUCAAAACUCACCACCAGGGGAGCUCCUUGAGAAGCCCCUAUCGGAGCUGGCUCCUCUGCAUCCAAUUCUCUUCCCUGUCCUUCUGAAGGACCAGAUGAUCUGAGGAAGCGGUCAGAGCACACUCUGCCUACCAGAUUGUGGUGCCUCCAGGACCUGGCCUGGAAUGCAGGAUUUCUCAGACUCACCAAUAUAUAUCUGGAUUAGUGGCUGGGCUCCUGGAACUGGAGCCAGGCGUGGCCAUCUGGCUCAUCCUCUGGUGGAUUUUUGGGACCUGAGAGGCCCAAGUCACCCACCUGGGGUCGACCUUCUCCCCUCUCCUGAGUGAAGAAAAGGCUAAUUUUUUUCCCCAUAGUAGGUCCAGGGGUCC